rnacentral:rRNA from 1 species
GUGGAUGAGGCAUGCAAGUCGAACGAAUUUAUGUAGCAAUAUGUAAAUGAGUGGCGGAAGGGUUAGUAAUACAUGGGUAACUUACCUUUAACUGUGGAAUAACGGUUGGAAACGACCGCUAAUACCGCAUGUGGUGGGACGAGGCAUCUCGUUUUCAUUAAAGUGGAGGAUCGUAAGACUUCGCGGUUAAAGAGAGGCCCAUGGGAUAUCAGCUAGUUGGUGAGGUAAAGGCUCACCAAGGCUAAGACGUCUAGGCGGAUUGAGAGAUUG